UACGUAGGGUGCGAGCGUUGUCCGGAAUUAUUGGGCGUAAAGAGCUCGUAGGCGGCCUGUCGCGUCGGAUGUGAAAGCCCGGGGCUUAACCCCGGGUCUGCAUUCGAUACGGGCAGGCUAGAGUGCGGUAGGGGAGAUCGGAAUUCCUGGUGUAGCGGUGAAAUGCGCAGAUAUCAGGAGGAACACCGGUGGCGAAGGCGGAUCUCUGGGCCAUUACUGACGCUGAGGAGCGAAAGCGUGGGGAGCGAACAGG
rnacentral:rRNA from 1 species